UACGAAGGGGGCUAGCGUUGCUCGGAAUUACUGGGCGUAAAGCGCACGUAGGCGGGUCGUUAAGUCGGGGGUGAAAUCCUGGAGCUCAACUCCAGAACUGCCUUCGAAACUGACGAUCUUGAGUCCGAUAGAGGUGGGUGGAAUUCCUAGUGUAGAGGUGAAAUUCGUAGAUAUUGGGAAGAACACCGGUGGCGAAGGCGGCCAACUGGACCACAACUGACGCUGAGGCGCGAAAGCGUGGGGAGCAAACAGG
rnacentral:rRNA from 1 species